rnacentral:rRNA from 1 species
UCAAGCGAAUAUAGGUGUAUGGUGGAUGCCUAGGAGCUGCGAGGCGAAGAAGGCCGUGAUAAGCUGCGAUAAGCCAGGGGGAGGAGCACAUAUCCUGUGAGCCCUGGAUAGCCGAAUGGGGUAACCCGACGGAAGCGAUUCCGUCAUCCGAUAUCUGAAUAAAAUAGGGUACGGAAGCCACACUGGGUGAACUGAACCAUCUAAGUAACCCGGGAAAAGAAAUCAAAAGAGAUUCCGAAAGUAGCGGCGAGCGAAAUCGGAAGAGCCCAAACCAGUUUAACUGGGGUUGUAGGGCCGCAUGGGCGAAGACGCAAGUCUACAGCCGCAGAGUGAUAAAUCUUCAUUAUAGCGGAACGGUUUUGGGAAAGCCGGUCAAAGAGGGUGAAAGCCCCGUACGCGAAAUGAUGGAGACUCUGUGAUGCGGUACCUGAGUACGGCGGGACACGAGAAAUCCUGUUGGAAUCCGGGUCGACCACGAUCCAAGGCUAAAUACUCCGCAGCUACCGAUAGUGCAGCAGUACCGUGAGGGAAAGGCGAAAAGAACCCCGGUGAGGGGAGUGAAAUAGAACCUGAAACCAUACACUAACAAGAUGUUACGGCACGAGUGCUUGUCACCGUGUUGUAGCGUGCCUUUUGUAGAAUGAGCCUGCGAGUUACGGUAUGUAGCGAGGUUAAGUGAUGGAAGUCACGGAGCCGUAGGGAAACCGAGUCUGAAAAGGGCGUGCGAUCUUACGAUCGCUUAUAGUUACAUGUCGUAGACCCGAAGCCAAGGUGAUCUAGUUACGAGCAGGUUGAAGCUCGGGUAAUACCGAGUGGAGGACCGAACUCUAAUCUGUUAAAAAAGGUAGGGAUGACUCGUGAUUAGGAGUGAAAGGCUAAACAAACCUGGAAAUAGCUGGCUCUCCCCGAAAUGCCUUUAGGGACAGCCUCAUACAAAACUUUCGGAGGUAAAGCACUGGAUGGACUAGGGCCCUUCACCGGGUACCAAACCCAAUCAAACUCUGAAUGCCGAAAGUCAACGUAUGGGAGUGAGACUGCGUGCGCUAAGGUUCGUAGUCAAGAGGGAAACAGCCCAGACCGUCAGCUAAGGUCCCGAAAUACCGCUCAGUGUAAAAUGAGGUGUGAAUACACAGACAGCCAGGAGGUUGGCUUAGAAGCAGCCAUUCCUUUAAAGAGUGCGUAAUAGCUCACUGGUCGAGUGUUCAUGCGCAGAUAAUGUAACGGGGCUAAGCGGUAUACCGAAGCUACGGAUCUACACUUUUAGUGUAGGUGGUAGGGGAGCAUUCCAUGGACUGAUGAAGGAAGACCUGUGAGGGCUUCUGGAGGGGAUGGAAGAGAGAAUGCAGGUAUAAGUACACGAAAAGAGGGGUGAGAUUCCCCUCCGCCGAAAACCUAAGGUUUCCUGGGUAAAGGUCAUCUGCCCAGGGUAAGUCGGCCCCUAAGGCGAGGACGAAAGUCGUAGUCGAUGGGAAUCCGGUUCAUAUUCCGGAACCUUUUAUAAUUUCGAAGGCAGGACGCAUGAGGUGAAAUCCGGCCGGGCGAUGGUUGUCCCGGUCUAAGCAACAAGCCGUUGACGGUGGCAGGCAAAUCCACCACCGGAGGUAAGUUGUUACAGCGAGUGGAGCUACGGCGAAGCGAAGCGGACGUAAUCACGGUGCCGGGAAAUACUGUCUAAGGCUAGGUUAUAGAAGACCGUACCGUAAUCCGACACAGGUAGGUGGGAUGAGAAAUCUAAGGCGCUCGAGAGAACUCGCGUUAAGGAACUCGGCAAAAUGCACACGUAACUUCGGAAGAAGUGUGGCCCCUGUUUGGUUAAAGAGUGGGGGUGGCACAGAGCAGGCCCAGGCGACUGUUUAUCAAAAACACAGCCAUCUGCGAAUCAGCAAUGAGACGUAUAGGUGGUGACACCUGCCCGGUGCUGGAAGGUUAAGAGGAGCGGUUCGAGGUAACUCAAAGCUGUGAAUCGAAGCCCCAGUAAACGGCGGCCGUAACUAUAACGGUCCUAAGGUAGCGAAAUUCCUUGUCGGGUAAGUUCCGACCCGCACGAAUGGUGUAACGAUUCUGGGCACUGUCUCAACGCGAGACUCGGUGAAAUUUAUAUACCGGUAAAGAAGCCGGUUACCCACAGUUAGACGGAAAGACCCCGUGAACCUUCACCGUAACUUAUUAUUGGAUCUUGGUGUAGCAUGUGUAGCAUAGGUGGGAGACUACGAGACGUGGCCGUUAGGUUGCGUGGAGUCGACCAGUGAAAUACCACCCUUGCUACAUCAGGUUUCUAACCUAAUCCGUGAAUCCGGGUUGGGGACAAUGAUAGGUGGGCGGUUUGACUGGGGCGGUCGCCUCCUAAAGAGUAACGGAGGUGCGCGAAGGUCUCCUCGCGCUGGUUGGAAAUCAGCGUACGAGUGUAAAGGCACAAGGAGGCUUGACUGCGAGACUGACAGGUCGAGCAGGUACGAAAGUAGGUCUUAGUGAUCUGGCGGUAGCGAGUGGAAGCGCCGUCACUUAACGGACAAAAGGUACUCCGGGGAUAACAGGCUGAUUUUCCCCAAGAGUUCACAUCGACGGGAAAGUUUGGCACCUCGAUGUCGGCUCAUCGCAUCCUGGGGCUGAAGCAGGUCCCAAGGGUUUGGCUGUUCGCCAAUUAAAGCGGUACGUGAGCUGGGUUCAGAACGUCGCGAGACAGUUCGGUCCCUAUCUGCUGUGGGCGUUGGAUGAUUGAGAGGAGCUGCAUUUAGUACGAGAGGACCGAUGUGGACGAACCUCUGGUGUACCUGUUGUUCUGCCAAGAGCAAGUGCAGGGUAGCUAAGUUCGGAAGGGAUAACCGCUGAAGGCAUCUAAGUGGGAAGCCCACCUCAAGAUAAAUCAUCCCUGGGGGUUCGACCCCCCUAAAGACUCCAGAGAGACUAUCUGGUUGAUAGGCUGCAGGUCUACGCACGGUAACGUGUUCAGCCGAGCAGUACUAAUAGGUCGUGAGGCUUGACCAU